AAAACAACUCCCUGGCCAUUCAGUCCACAUUUGAAGGGCACAUAUCAAAUCUUUGUCCUGAGAUCUUAAAAUAAAUGCAACAGUUUUAUGGUUCACAUGGAGACAUUGUGGAGUCUUGUGAACAUGUGGCCCCAGUCUCCUAUGCAGCAUCAGAACUGUUCCAAGUUCUGAGCUCUUGGACAAGUCCUCACCCAGAAGAGUGGCCUGUUUGUUUUGUAAGAACAGGAUGAUCAUCCCCAGAAAUGCAGAACAGCCCAGGGCUUCGGAGACAGCAGAGCCUUCGGAUCAAGACACACCUGAGACGGAGACUGCUCGGCCUCAUGCCAUCUGGGUAGCUUUGGGCAAAUUGCUCAAACUGUCUGAGCUCAGCUUCCUUAUCUGGAAAAGAAGGAUGACGAUGCCAAGGUCAUAGAGUUGUCAGUGUCUUAGUCUACUUUGUUUUGCUGCAACAAAAUCCCCGAGGCUGAGCCACUGUAUAAAAAACUGUUUGGCUCGAGGUUCUGGAGAUGUGAGAGUGUGGCUCUGGCAGCAGCUCCGGUCUGGUGAGGGUGAUACGGUGGAUGGUAUCAAGAGGAUGUGAAGCCUGCAUCAGUCCCUUCUGAGGGUGGGGCCUCUGUGAUGUAAUCACCUUCCGCUGGGUGUCACCUCUGACAGGUUCCAAAACCACAUCCACACUGCAGCAAAUAAGGUAACAAAUGUAAAUGCAAAGGGCCUCUUCUACCAUAAGCAUUAGAUUGUCUAUUCCACAAGGUAGAAAGGACAUGAAAAUGAGCCCUCCUGUCAAUGUCAGCUUGGCCCCCAUCUAUUGCAAACCCAGCAGUGGACACCAUGAGAGCUUUUGGGAAAGCCACCAACUGGCAGCAAUUGGGCUACUUCGAAACAGAACCAUGGAACCGCACCAUGCCUGCGCUUGCGUGCUAAAGGUCUGCUUAGCAAGCCAGCCAGAGCCAAGAAGCUAUGUGGAAACAAAUUCCCAAAAAACACAGGUUCCCAUGGAAAAGAAUGGAAAAAGGUCAGGGGAUUUGAGCUCACUUGGCUGCUGUUCCAGCCCUGGGCUGUGCCCGGCGUGGUCUUCCUGCACAGUGACUUCUUUUGACCUGGUUCUGAGACCUUGGCAGCCUGCUUUGUUGUGCUUAAGUUCGACCUUCCCUGACCCCUGUGUCAUUUUCGAUGUCACCAUGGAAAUUUCCAGACCUCCCUGGAGCUGGUUUCUGGCCAUGAGCAUCCACCCCAGAUGCAUGCAUACUCUCUUCCAGCUCUGUGGGAUCCAUCUCGCAGAUUCACAGAUUUCAUGGCCCUAGAUUAGUAGGCAGGGCCUCAGCACCCAGAGUGUAUUAUCUCACUGGAAUGAGAAGAUGCUGAUUGCAUCCACAGCAAUAUAGAUUACAGGGCUAGACUGAUUACAACUGGGGCCAGAAUGAUGGACCUGGGGAAUCAGGAAGUGAAGGGAUGGUCUAAGGAUCUGAACAUUCUUCAAAGGAAGCCAGUACUGUCCCCACUCCUGCUUUCCUUGGAUCAAGCCAGCUGAAUGGAUGUGAUCUGUUUGCCAGUGAUUUGGAGGCAGCAGAGCCAGGUGGAGGGAAAUACUGCAUUACACGGAAACGGCACAUCAUGAACACUAUGACCUUGUGCACAUCCUGUCUAAGGUAGGACAGGGAGUAAGAGUAAUUCCUAUCCCCUCACAGGGCUACUGCCAUGGUCAGGAUGAGCACGUAGUUAGGCAGCCCCAGGAGCAAAAGAAACAUUUGGUAGAGAAGGAUGGAGGGAACUCCAGGGGGAUGAAUCAGCAAGGCUGAGCUGAAAGGAAGUUCUUGCACUGGAAUGAGACAGGUUCAUCGGUUUCUGCGACCAUAGAAAGACCAACUUCUGCUCCCAGUGGUUUUCCAGGUGGCACUCGAAAUGCUGGAUGAAAUACCCAGAUGAAGAGGACCUCCAGGAUUACUGUCAGGUUUUUUUCCUAGCUCUGGGCUGGUGUCCUGCUGGAUUGAGAAUAUCAGGCCAGAUGACUGAUGUCCUGUAACGGAUUGUGUCCACUUGAUUGGCUUGGGAUCCACCCAGGAGACUGGAGAAGCAUACUUCUGGGUGUUUCUGAGUGGGCCAUCGAGGUGUGGCCCUGGGGACUAUGUAUGGCCCCAGGCCCCUUCCUCUCUGGUACUUCCUCUCCCCCACUCUGCUUCCCAGCUACCAUGAACUGAGCAGCUUUGCUCUGCCACACUGUUCUGCCAUGAUGUUCCUG
rnacentral:lncRNA from 1 species